AGUCUGGUGCCAGCAGCCGCGGUAAUUCCAGCUCCAAUAGCGUAUAUUAAAGUUGCUGCAGUUAAAAAGCUCGUAGUUGGAUCUGGGGCUUGAGGUCGCUGUCUAUCGUUUCGGCGAUGACGGUGAUGCUCAGCUCUGCUUGCCGGUGACUGUUGCGGUGUUCUUCACUGAGCGCUGUAGCAGCACGGCACGUUUACUUUGAAAAAAUUAGAGUGCUCAAAGCGUGCUUGUCGCUUGAAUAAUGUUGCAUGGAAUAAUGGAAUAGGACCUCGGUUCUAUUUUGUUGGUUUUCGGAGCUUGAGGUAAUGAUUAAGAGGGACGAACGGGGGCAUUCGUAUUGCGGUGUUAGAGGUGAAAUUCUUGGAUCGCCGCAAGACGGACUACUGCGAAAGCAUUUGCCAAGAACGCUUUCAUUAAUUAAGAACGAAAGUCAGAGGUUCGAAGACGAUCAGACACCGUCCUAGUUCUGACCAUAAACGAUGCCGACCAGCGAUCCGUAGUGGUUGCUUUAUGGACCCUACGGGCGGCCUCCGGGAAACCAAAGUAUUUGGGUUCCGGGGGAAGUAUGGUUGCAAAGCUGAAACUUAAAGGAAUUGACGGAAGGGCACACCAGGAGUGGAGCCUGCGGCUUAAUUUGACCCAACACGGGAAAACUCACCCGGUCCGGACACCGUAAGGAUUGACAGACUGAUAGCUCUUUCUUGAUUCGGUGGAUGGUGGUGCAUGGCCGUUCUUAGUUGGUGGAGUGAUUUGUCUGGUUAAUUCCGAUAACGAACGAGACUCUAGCCUGCUAAGUAGUGUUGCUAUUGUUAUAUGGUUGACACUUCUUAGAGGGACAAGUGGCAUUUAGCCACGCGAAAUUGAGCAAUAACAGGUCUGUGAUGCCCUUAGAUGUCCGGGGCCGCAAGCGCGCUACACUGGAGAAGUCAGCGUGUGUUAUCCAAGUCCGAAAGGACUGGGUAAUCCGUUGAACCUUCUUCGUGCUUGGGACUGUGGCUUGGAACUAUUCCACAUGAACGAGGAAUUCCUAGUAAUUGCAAGUCAUAAGCUUGCGUUGAUUACGUCCCUGCCCUUUGUACACACCGCCCGUCGCUACUACCGAUUGAAUGGUUUAGCAAGGUCCUCGGAUCGUGGCCGUAGGGGCACGCAAGUGUUUCUGCGGUUUGCGAGAAGACGACCAAACUUGAUCAUUUAGA
rnacentral:rRNA from 1 species